GCGGGGCACGGUGGCUCAUGCCAGUAAUCCCAGAGGCCGAGGUGGGCAGAUCAUGAGGUCAACAGAUCAAGACCAUCCUGGCCAACAUGGCGAAGCCUGGUCUCUACUGAAAAUUCAAACAUUGCCGGGCGCGGUGGUACACUAAGUUUGGCAUCAAUAUGGUGACCUCCCGGGAGUGGGGGACCACCAGGUUGUCUAAAGAGGGGUGAACCGGCCCAGGUCUGAAAUGGAGCAGGUCAAAACUCCCAUGAUGAUCAGUAGUGGGAUCGCACCCGUGAGUAGCCACUGCACUCCAGCCUGGGCAACAUAGCAUGACCCCGUCUCU
rnacentral:SRP_RNA from 1 species